rnacentral:hammerhead_ribozyme from 1 species
UCCCACAUAGGACGAAACGCGCGUCCUGAAU